AUUGAACGCUGGCGGCAGGCCUAACACAUGCAAGUCGGACGGUAGCACAGAGGAGCUUGCUCCUCGGGUGACGAGUGGCGGACGGGUGAGUAAUGUCUGGGGAUCUGCCCGAUAGAGGGGGAUAACCACUGGAAACGGUGGCUAAUACCGCAUAACGUCGCAAGACCAAAGAGGGGGACCUUCGGGCCUCUCACUAUCGGAUGAACCCAGAUGGGAUUAGCUAGUAGGCGGGGUAACGGCCCACCUAGGCGACGAUCCCUAGCUGGUCUGAGAGGAUGACCAGCCACACUGGAACUGAGACACGGUCCAGACUCCUACGGGAGGCAGCAGUGGGGAAUAUUGCACAAUGGGCGCAAGCCUGAUGCAGCCAUGCCGCGUGUAUGAAGAAGGCCUUCGGGUUGUAAAGUACUUUCAGCGGGGAGGAAGGCGAUGUGGUUAAUAACCGCAUUGAUUGACGUUACCCGCAGAAUAAGCACCGGCUAACUACGUGCCAGCCGCCGCGGUAA
rnacentral:rRNA from 1 species